UGCCAGACUCCUACGGGAGGCAGCAGUGAGGAAUAUUGGUCAAUGGCCGGAAGGCUGAACCAGCCAAGCCGCGUGAAGGACGAAGGUGCCAAGCAUUGUAAACUUCUUUUGUCAAGGGACAAAAUCAGGCUCGAGAGCCUGACCGAGGGUACUUGAAGAAAAAGCAUCGGCUAACUCCGUGCCAGCAGCCGCGGUAAUACGGAGGAUGCGAGCGUUAUCCGGAUUUAUUGGGUUUAAAGGGUGCGUAGGCGGGCUUUUAAGUCGGGGGUAAAAGCCGGGGGCUCACCCCCGGCGAGCCGUUGAAACUGGCUGUCUUGAGAUGUCGAGAGGUAUGCGGAAUGCGCAGUGUAGCGGUGAAAUGCUUAGAGAUCGGGAGGAACACCAGUGGCGAAGGCGGCCUACUGGGCUCUAACUGACGCUGAGGCACGAAAGCAUGGGUAGCAAACAGGAUUAGAUACCCUAGUA
rnacentral:rRNA from 1 species